UUUUAUUAAAAUCUUUUUUUAUAACAAUUAGAGAGAGAAGAACAAAAUUCACGGACACCCCCUUUCUCUUAGCAACCUAACCAUAAACGCAAUCAACCAUCACCAUCCCUCAUCGCCAAACUCUUCUCCUCUAGUAGAGGAUGCUGUCGCCACCGAUGGAGACAGAUCGUGAGUGUCAUCACACUCUUCUCAUCGCCGAACUCUUCUUAGCUCUCAUCGUUCCUCUUCUCUCUCUCUCUCUCUGCGAAACAAUGAAGAAGGUGAGGAAUCGCCGAAGGUAUAUUCGCCAAGAACACCGACACCGGAGACAGCAUUGACAUUAAGGUCAUGGCUAAAUCCACCAUUCUCAAGCAUAGAAUGGUUGAACAGGUUGAAUUUAUAUCAGCCACAAAUACAAGGAAGAUGUGAAACUCAUGGUGGGAACAGGCCUUGAUGCUUAUAGGUUAUCCAUUUCUUGGUCAAGAUUGAUUCCAAAAGAGACUUCAUAAAUUAUGCAGAAGUGUGUUUCAGAGAGUUCGGUGACAGAGUCUUAUAUUGGAAUACUAUGAACGAGCCGAACGUGUUCACCAUAGGUGGUUAUGAUCAAGAAACAACCCCACCUAUACGAUAUUCGCCCCCAUUUUGCCAGAAAUAUAAUAGCAGUAGGGGUGACUCCACAACUGAGCCUUAGUUCGCAGUUCAUCAUAUUUUGCUAUCACAUUCUUCAGUAGUGAGAUUGUAUAGAAGAAAGUUUACUAAAUUGUUCUUUUUUUCUUUCUUAGUAAUGUUAAAUAACUGAACUUGAUUCUCAUUUGAUUGUGGUAAGUUGCUUCAUUUCUUUUUCUUUUUUCACUUGUUAUUUCAAAAGUUUUUGAAUUCUUUCUGUGGCUUCUUCAAUGGUGUUCUACUGUUACCCUUGUUCUUUUUAUCGGCCCAGAGUUCUGUUCCCAACUGAUUUUAAUGCAUAUGUUUAGUUUCUCUUUAUUUUAAUCUUCCUGUUCCAUCUUCCAUGACAAUUAGUGAUUUAGUGGAUUUUACUCGACUAUAACUUGGCGAUGAAUGACUGGCUUUUCUGCAGUUGAGUCCUUACAAGAUGCCUUGAAGCAAUUAUAUCUGAUUGAUGCUAUUGAUGAAAAUGGUGCAAUUACAAGUAUUGGACAGAAAAUGGCUGAGCUUCCAUUAGAACCUUCCUUAUCACGAACCUUGAUGGAGGCAAAUGAUUAUGGUUGCAUACCUAAGGCUUUGACUGUUGCUGCCAUGUUAUCAGCUGAAACUACAUUGCUACCAGGGUGGAGGUCAACAGACACAAAGGAAUUCAUCACUUCAAGAUGUGACAAGAGUGGAAUACUUGCAUGUAUAUAUUGGUGCUGUGCUUGAUUCCAUAAGAGCUUCAUUAAGAUUAUGUUUGCAUAUAUCCUGAAGACAUAUCUCUUGGCUUAGUUUUACAGGUACUUACUAGAUUAAUUGUGGUCAUAAAAUAAUUUUUAAUAUAUAUGAAUUGAUGUUUAUAAAUUUAUUUUUUUUAAAAGAGUAAUGGUGUUGUGCGAAAGUUUCAUGAGUAAUGAUCUUCUGAGUAGGUUUACAAUUGAAGGCUUGAACAUUCACAUUAAUUAGACUGCAGCAGCCUUUAAUGAUUGAUUCAUUCAUUCAAAUUGUAAAUGGAAGGUUUCAGAAUGAACUUGGUAAUCUCAUGGUCCCUCAAUUCAAUAAAUAUUUUUAAUUGUUAUUGACAAGUUCUUCCCACUGUGUUACAAAUGUUAACCAUUUAUAAGCAUUACUCUCUUUUUUAUUGUCAAUACUAAUGUCUAACUAUUUAAUUCUUAUUAAAAUUUGUAUCAAAGUCAAACCAGGUACACAUGAGCACUCUCUUUUCUAUUCAAAGUUUCACCCACCUAAAGAAAGUUUUAGAAGAUGACUCGUCAAGUGGCAAUUCAUCGCUAAUCAGCAGCAAUUCUGACUUAGGUUCUUGCAGGAUUGAUAUAGUUAUAGCCUUGUAGUAUUUCUUGUUUAGAUUUGUAAUAUAAUAUAUUACUUUUCAAGGAAAUUUUGUGUAUCAAUAUUUUGAGAUUAAUGAAAUAUCUCAUUUUGUAGUAA